AUGAAUAGUUGCUCUAACUCCUUUGGAGGGACAAAGAAAAUAAGAUUGUUGGAAGAUAGAAAGAAAAAGAGGAAACAGUAUGGAGGUACAGCACAUGGCAAUCAAAUCUUCUUGGAUGGCAGCCAUGAUGAACAUAUGCCUCCCCCAAAUCCAAUGGUUGGAUUUAGCCUGCCCAAUUAUAGACAACUACCAGUGGACAGAAAAAUUCCUAAAAAAGCUAUCGGGCGACCUUUUUUCUACUAUGAAAAUGUGGCCCAAGCUCCCAGAGGUGUAUGGGCGACCAUUUCAAGAUGUCUGUAUGGCAUUCAACCUGAGUAUGUGGACUCGAAGCAUUUGUGUGCAGCUGCAAGGAAAAGAGGCUACAUCCACAAUUUGCCGAUUGAGAACAGAGCACCUCUUCUUCCUCUGCCUCCAAUGACGAUACUUGAGGCAUUCCCUCGGUACAAGAAGUGGUGGCCUUCCUGGGACACGAGAACGCAGUUCAACUGCUUGCGAACAAGUGUGGCAUGUCAACAGCUGACAGGAAGCAUUGGUGCUCUUGCAAGAACAGGGAAUCCACCGCCUCGAAAUAUUCAAAAAGAUAUGAUCAAACAGUGCAAAGAGUACAAUCUUGUCUGGAUAGGAAAGAACAAGGUUGCUGCAUUGGAACCUGAAGAGAUUGAAUAUCUACUAGGUUUCCCGAAGGACCACACAAGGGGACUUGCCAGCACAAAUAGGUACAAAUCUCUCGGCAACUCUUUCCAUGUUGAUACUGUUGCUUACCACUUGUCAGUGCUAAAAGGCAUGUUUCCCAAUGGUGUUAAUGUGCUGUCCUUAUUCACUGGUAUUGGAGGAGGAGAGGUAGCUUUGCACAGGUUGGGAAUCAACAUGAGGACAGUGGUUUCUGUUGAAAUAGACAAAGCUAGUAAGAGGAUUUUCAGGGAUUGGUGGGAUCAGACUCAAACAGGCACGCUGAUUGAGAUUGAUGACGUGAAAUCUCUUACUGAUGAUCAAGUUGCAACAUACGUUACUACAUUUGGCGGCUUCGACUUGGUGAUUGGGGGCAGCCCAUGUAACAAUCUUGCUGGGUGCAACCGAUCCAGCCGUCAUGGCUUGGAGGGCAAGCAAUCUGUUUUGUUCCACCAUUAUGUCAGAAUCUUGAAUGCCGUCAAGUCAGCUAUGGCCAGGAAGUAG
rnacentral:rRNA from 1 species